CGUAGGGGCGAGCGUUAUCCGGAAUUAUUGGGGCGUAAAGCGCGCGCAGGCGGUCAUUUAAGUCAGGUGUGAAAGGCUGCGGCUCAACCGCAGAGCGGCACCUGAAACUGGAUGACUUGAGUGCAGGAGAGGAGAGCGGAAUUCCCGGUGUAGCGGUGGAAUGCGUAGAGAUCGGGAGGAACACCAGUGGCGAAGGCGGCUCUCUGGCCUGUUUCUGACGCUGAGGCGCGAAAGCGUGGGGAGCAAACAGGAUU
rnacentral:rRNA from 1 species